UAGCUGCGACUGUUGUCUUCGGUUCACAUUACUGGCGCGCUCGUGACCACUUCCUUGCUGCUAUGCUAUGCCUGGCGGGUGCUCCAGCUCUGCUUGCCAAAUCCAGUUGCAGGCAGCCCCCGGUCCGUCGUGGUCACCGGCUACAGGCCCAGUGCCGCCCUGGCCGCCGCCGCCCCGAAGCACCGCCUCCCCCGGGCCGCCGCCACCGCUCCGUUCGCAAGCGCGCGGGCGCGCCCCUGCCUGGUCCGGUCACCAGCUCGCGGAGUCGCGGGGCGCAGCCGCCGCCGCCUCCCCGCCUGCGGGCGCGCGGACACCGCCGAGUUGGCCUAAAGGACCCCGCCCCGUUCCCCUCCGCUGCUCUGCCGUCUUAUCUGUGCCCAGCGGAGCAGAGGGCUCCGCCACCGCUCGCGACUUCCCCCAGCGCCAUGGACGCGACCGCACCGGCCGCCGCCACGCUGCUCCCGAGGCGCGUCGCUUGCUCGCCGCGUCACGGCUCCGCGACAUCGGCUCCACCUGCGUCUCGCAGGAGGCGCCCCUCACCGUCAGCGUUAGGUACGCGUGCGCGGAACGACCACUCGCACUCUCACGGCCUCGCUCAGUGGCUCGCUCCCGGCGCCGGUGGACGCCCACCAGGUGUUCGACAACUUGUGCGCUCACUACACCACUGUAACACCCAGGUGUUAAUCAACACAAAUUAAAUGUAAUCAGGGUCAUUAGUUUUAAGUUUAAACCGCAAACCAUGAGAUAGCAAAAUUUCUUGUCAGCCUGGGCCAGACCGGUCGGACCGGUUGAACCUGAUCUCAACCGUUUUGGGCCCCACAAUAUUUAAACCACACUCCCUCUCUCUCUUCCUCACCAACUCAUUCAUCCUCCCUGGGUUCAGCUCGCCCUCUCCCCGAGCUCCCCUCUCCUCAAACUCUCUCUUCCAAAGAUCCCCCAUUCCCACUCAAUCCAAGGCCGGGGAGAGCUUCAAAUCGGUGGAGGAUCAUCUUCUCCAUGUGCUCCUCCCCGGGGUGAUGUGGAAUCUCAAGUUCUUCGUGGGGGAGGAGCCCAUUCGAGGUAAACAAGCUACGGUUGGGUCGAUCUUCUUUCUUUUAGGUGAUUAUAAGUGAAUCUCUUUGGUCAAAUACCUCUAAUUGUAAUCAUGAACUAAAGUCCAGGAGGGAUUUAGAAUUUGUGGGCUAGUUAAUUCAUCCAAGGUAUUUUACCUAGGGUUGGGUGAAUCCAUCUUUCCAGAAGGUUUUAGUCGAAUUCUUUGAGUCAAGAUCAUCUUUAUGCGUCUCUGAACUUGGGCCUAGAAAGGAUUUGAAAUUGGUGGGUUAGUUUAGCCGCGACAUGAAGUCCAGUUUUUGAUCUGGGAAGGACCGGUCUGACUGGUCGGAAGGACUGGUCUGACCGGUGGCUGCGUGGGUGUGUUCAUGCAGGCCGGUCUGACCGGUUGGGCGUACAGGUCUAACCGGUUGCAUGUAGGUAGAACAAGUUGGAGUUGUGUAGUUUCUUUUACAGAGCUUGGGCUACUCUAAUGUGGAGUUUGUAAAUUAUUUGAAGAUGAAAAUUAUGUAAGUUAUUAGGGAUUUGAACUCGUUCGUAAAACCCUUGUUUAUCGGUUUGUCAUCCAUGUAUAUUUUCAAGUAUUUACCGUGGUUGUAUCACCUGCGCCCGUCUUUGCGUGGGACUACCGGUGUUAUUUCGAUCGGAUCGUGGGUUGAGAAAGGACCGCCAAAUUAAACCAUUAAACUAAUGCGCCCGAUGUGUUCAAAUGACGACCAUUAUGUUUAAUUUAGAGUUUUAAUUUGUCAGUUUUGUUGCAGUAUUGUAGCUAAUGAGAUCUUUGAUCGUACGAUUAGGGAAUGAUUAAGAGCGGUUACUGUAGCAUCACUGUAGCCAAUUAUGAUGGAACUUUACUUAUUAGAUUUGUCUCAAAAAAUUACACCCAUCCAUAAAAAGAUUUCGCAAAUAAACUUCAUUUAGUACAUCAUGCAUGCAUUCGUCUUUUUUUGAAAAAAAAAAUCACGCUCUCAUCCAAACACGGCCUUAGUAUACUCUGUUCUCGUUACUUUUUUUUUCACUGUACUCUGUUCUCCAAUUAGUUGUGCUUGACCAUAUAGGAAAAAUCGAAUGGAAACUGAGGACAGCAGCUCGUGCAACACUAACAAGUUAUGAUCUCUUAUUAGUUCGCAGCAUGGCUCUGUCUACAAGCUUGCUUUUAGACCCAAAUCGUUCGUAGUCGUCUCUGACCCUAUUGUCGCCAGACACAUCCUCCGGGAGAAUGCUUUCUGUUAUGACAAGGUAUGACGUCUAACAUAUUCUAUUGGCUCCAUAUCUAUUAGAAAUUCCAGGUGGCUUUCAACCAUAAUUUCUUGACUCCCAUGAUGUCUGCCAGGUUAUUUAUAGUACCAGUUGCCUCUCUGCAACUGCAUUUUGCAUAUAUUGUUACAUGCCUUGUAUAACCUGACUCUGACUUUGCUGGGUUUCCCUCUUACAUACAGUGGCAAAUCCAGAAAUUCUUAAAAGGGGGGCUGAUUUCUUCUUUCCUCUCUUCUUCCUCUCCUUCUUCCUCAUCUUUUCUUCUCCAAAAUGAAGGGGGGCUAAGGGGGGGCUCCAUGGUGUUUUUGGGUCUAGGGGGGCUCCGUCUAGGGGGGCUGGAGCCCCCCUAGACCCACUGCUGCUUCCGCCACUGCUUACAUAGUAUUUCUGCACUUGAAAUCAGGGAGUUCUCGCUGAAAUUUUAAAACCAAUAAUGUGGAAGGGACUUAUACCUGCUGACCUUGAUACCUGGAAGCAAAGGAGAAAAAGUUAGAAAGGUCACAGGGGACGCCCGUGCAUUUGCUGUUACCAACAAAGGAGCUCUAACACAAGAAAUGACAUCAUCCCCAUGCCGGUUGCCAAAAUAAAUUGCCGACUAUCAGAAAAGCUUAAUUUAUGUAAUGCCUUCCAACCGCCAACAUCCACAUUUUCCAAUUCCUGUGGAAUUCUGUACCUACCAUCAGCUCAAGUGUUCCUGCUAGAUCUUGUAACAAUCAUCACUGGGCAAGCAACGUUGCAGAUACUUUUCUUCAAUACUUUGUUAUUCAGAUGUCCAAAGUCGACCGUACUGAACCUUAUGUUUAGUUGUAUCGAAAUGUAUUAUCUGCUUGUCUGCUGCUGUAUCUAUACAAAAACUGUUACACCUUU